rnacentral:tmRNA from 1 species
GGGACUGACUGGAUUUGACUGCAAGAUGCAUUGGACUGUAAGCAUGUCGAGCAUUGUUUUUUGGCUCGUAAAAAUCAAAAAUCAUAUUUUUUAAUUGGCGAGUCUAACUACGCUUUAGCUGCCUAAUUUUAUAAAUUAAGCUGGCUUUUGUCUCUUUUAAAGGACCUUCUGAUUCCUUUAAUCUUGAGGCAUUAUUAAUUUCAGAAUAGCAGAUUUAUUUCUUCUGUAAUGAUGCGAAACUUUUUGAAGAUAAGAAUAGGAUUUGGUUGCUAAUUUCCACUUCUAUUUCGAAAAUUAAAAUAAGAUAAACAUGUAGAAAGCUUUUUGAUUCCUUGUUAGGACGUGGGUUCGAAACCCACCAGUUCCAC